UACGAACUGCGCGAGCGUUAUUCGGAAUCACUGGGCUUACAGGGUGCGUAGGUGGCAUUGUAAGUAGGGUGUGAAAGCCCUCGGCUCAACCGAGGAAUUGCGCUCUAAACUACUGUGCUCGAGGGACCUAGAGGUGAGCGGAACUGAUGGUGGAGCGGUGAAAUGCGUUGAUAUCAUCAGGAACACCGGAGGCGAAGGCGGCUCACUGGGGGUCUUCUGACGCUGAGGAACGAAAGCCAGGGGAGCGAACGGG
rnacentral:rRNA from 1 species